UCUAACUUAAUAACAAUGGAGAUGAACAUGAAGAGCCACAAAGUAUAACACUAAUUUCAAUCUCAACAAUGCAUAACGUUUUGAUCUUAAAGAAAGAACUAGCUUAAAGAUAAGGCACAGAUGCUUGCAGAUCUGAAUAUUUGACAAAGAGAUAGGAAUUCAAGACAUUUCUCAAGAUGUUCAGUUAUAAAAUAGUUCCAGCUACAAUAACGAUCUGAUUACAAAUCCAUGUGUAACGCCACUGUUUUAUGCUACAUUUGUUAUUCAGGUCCAGUAGCCAGUGGUUCUUUGCGUAAUUGUUCAAAAGGACAUUUUGAGGUGCUUGUCCAGAUGUGAUUAUUUCUCUUCAGUAACAGUUUUGUAGGAGUUUGGAGUACUCUGAGCACCUACCUGUAGCGUGCCAUCAAAACCACAUGCACAACAGGAGUUUUGCAUGGCAUGAGUAAUCUUCCUCUCCUUCCUCCCUCACAGUCUCUAACCGCCCUCUCCCUCUAGAUCCAAAUUUAGCUCUUACGUGUAAGAGUUUGCAUCAUGAAUGAAAGCAGAGCUGAUUCUCAUUUCAGUACUAGGUGGGUAGGGAUUAAUCCGUCAAAACGAAUGAUUAUAGUUAGGAAACCUGUCAAUAUGGUUAUAUGUAUUAGUAAUAAGAUUUUCAAUUAAUCCAAACAAGAAAAGCAUGUGAUUUUUUCUAUUUAGUAUUUAGUAUUUCUGGAAAACUAUACGCGAUCUUGCUAAUUUCAUACUACUAGAUUACAGUCGUACAUGCUCUUGCUUGUCUACAAAAUUUCAUUCUUGCAUCUAACCCUGAUUAAAGAAAUGCUUGAAUAGCAGGAUGGCAUUGGGUUGUCAUGUUUUACUGUCAUUUGCCUGUAGUACUCUAUUGACUCAGGUGCUUUGCUAUUAUAAUGUUGUCAUUUACGUUUAGUAAUAUGUUGACUCACAUGGCACACUAUGUGACUGUAUGUGGUUAUAUGUGUGGUGUGAAGAUGGUCAUUCUUCAAUUUGAAAGUAAACAAGCGGCCUCCAUUGAGGUCUACCGACAAUCAUGUAGGCAAUGCGUAGUCUUAACUCUUAACGUGAGGGGGCGCCGAGAUACACGAGGGGUUGGAGUAGGACUACAGGAGGAGGUGAGGACAUGUUUUAUUUAAGAUCCACCUGAUUAGUCCCAGGUUUUUGCAAGGUCUGUUUCUUAUGCAGAGAUUUCUUUUGAUGGGCAGCCUAGCCAAUAAAUUAUGGUUACUCCUUUUAGUUAGAUUUAGUACUAGGUGAAUUAUUUGCUUCUGUGUCGAUGAACAAAUGAGUCU